UUCUUAUUUUUAGCUCACCUGGCCCGAAGGGCCAAGUGAGCUUUUCCCAUCACUUUGCGUCCGGCGUCCGUCGUCCUGCGUCCGUCGUCCGUCGUCCUGCGUCCGUCGUCGUUAACUUUUACAAAAAUCUUCUCCUCUGAAACUACUGGGCCAAAUUAAACCAAACUUGGCCACAAUCAUCAUUGGGGUAUCUAGUUUAAAAAAUGUGUCCGGUGACCCGGCCAACCAACCAAGAUGGCCGCCAUGGCUAAAAAUAGAACAUAGGGGUAAAAUGCAGUUUUUUGCUUAUAACUCAAAAACCAAAGCAUUUAGAGCAAAUCUGACAAGGGUAAAAUUGUUGAUCAGGUCAAUAUCUAUCUGUCCUGAAAUUUUCAGAUAAAUUGGGCAACCCGUUGUUGGGUUGCUGCCCCUGAAUUGGUAAUUUUAAGGAAAUUUUGCUGUUUUUUGUUAUUAUCUUGAAUAUUAUUAUAGAUAGAGAUAAAUUAUAAACAGCAAUAAUGUUCAGCAAAGUAAGAUCUACAAAUAAGCUGUCAUGACCGAAAUGGUCAGUUAACCCCUUAAGGCGUUAUUUCCCUUUAUAGUCAAUUUUUAACCAUUUUUCAUAAAUCUUAGUAAUCUUUUACAAAAAUCUUCUCCUCUGAAACUUUUGGGCCAAAUUAAUCCAAACUUGGCCACAAUCAUCAUUGAGGUAUUUAGUUUGAAAAAUGUGUCCGGUGACCCGGUCAUCUAACCAAGAUGGCCGCCACGGCUAAAAAUAGAACAUAGGGGUAAAAUGAAGAUUUUGGCUGAUAACUGAAACCAAAGCAUUUAGAGCAUAUCUGACAUUAGUAAAAUUGUUUAUCAGGUCAAGAUUUAUCUGCCCUAAAAUUUUCAGAUGAAUUGGACAACAAUUGUUGUUUGGUUGCUGCUGCCGAAAUUAAUCAACAGCACAAGAUCUAAAACUUAAUAAAUAUUGUUCAAAAUAUCAAUUAUCUAUUAAAAGAUGUUUUUGGCCAUUAAAAAAAUAAAGUUCUUCAUUUUAUC
rnacentral:lncRNA from 1 species